rnacentral:rRNA from 1 species
AGAGUUUGAUCCUGGCUCAGGACGAACGCUGGCGGCGUGCUUAACACAUGCAAGUCGAACGGAAAGGCCCUUCGGGGUGCUCGAGUGGCGAACGGGUGAGUAACACGUGGGUGAUCUGCCCUGCACUUUGGGAUAAGCCUGGGAAACUGGGUCUAAUACCGGAUAUGAUCACGGGCUUCAUGGUCUGUGGUGGAAAGCUUUUGCGGUGUGGGAUGGGCCCGCGGCCUAUCAGCUUGUUGGUGGGGUAAUGGCCUACCAAGGCGACGACGGGUAGCCGGCCUGAGAGGGUGUCCGGCCACACUGGGACUGAGAUACGGCCCAGACUCCUACGGGAGGCAGCAGUGGGGAAUAUUGCACAAUGGGCGCAAGCCUGAUGCAGCGACGCCGCGUGAGGGAUGACGGCCUUCGGGUUGUAAACCUCUUUCAAUGGGGACGAAGCACAAGUGACGGUACCUAUAGAAGAAGCACCGGCCAACUACGUGCCAGCAGCCGCGGUAAUACGUAGGGUGCGAGCGUUGUCCGGAAUUACUGGGCGUAAAGAGCUCGUAGGUGGUUUGUCGCGUUGUUCGUGAAAACUCACAGCUUAACUGUGGGCGUGCGGGCGAUACGGGCAGACUGGAGUACUGCAGGGGAGACUGGAAUUCCUGGUGUAGCGGUGGAAUGCGCAGAUAUCAGGAGGAACACCGGUGGCGAAAGCGGGUCUCUGGGCAGUAACUGACGCUGAGGAGCGAAAGCGUGGGGAGCGAACAGGAUUAGAUAC